rnacentral:rRNA from 1 species
GACGAACGCUGGCGGCGUGCUUAACACAUGCAAGUCGAGCGGUAAGGCCCUUUCGGGGGUACACGAGCGGCGAACGGGUGAGUAACACGUGGGUGACCUGCCCUCAGCUCUGGGAUAAGCCUGGGAAACCGGGUCUAAUACUGGAUAUGACUCCAUGACGCAUGUUGUGGGGUGAAAGCCUUGUGCGGCUGAGGAUGGGCCCGCGGCCUAUCAGCUUGUUGGUGGGGUGAUGGCCUACCAAGGCGACGACGGGUAGCCGGCCUGAGAGGGCGACCGGCCACACUGGGACUGAGACACGGCCCAGACUCCUACGGGAGCAGCAGUGGGGAAUCUUGCGCAAUGGGCGAAAGCCUGACGCAGCGACGCCGCGUGAGGGAUGACGGCCUGG